rnacentral:rRNA from 1 species
GACGAACGCUGGCGGCGUGCUUAACACAUGCAAGUCGAACGAAGUGGCGAACGGGUGAGUAACGCGUACUCAACCUGCCCUUCAGAGGGGGACAACAGUUGGAAACGACUGCUAAUACCGCAUACUGAAGGAGGGGAUUGCGUCUGAUUAGCUAGUUGGCGGGGUAACGGCCCACCAAGGCGAUGAUCAGUAGCCGGUCUGAGAGGAGGAACGGCCACAUUUGGAAUGAGACAAGGACCAGACUCCUACGGGAGGCAGCAGGGGGGAAUCUUCCGCAAUGGACGAAAGUCUGACGGAGCAAAGCCGGGGGAGUGAUGACGGCCUUCGGGGUGUAAAGCUCUGUUAAUCGGGACGCGGUACCGGAAUAGAAAGCCACUGCUAACUACGUGCCAGCAGCCGCGGUAAUAC